CUCCAAGGUGCAUAACUCAGAUGUCUUGAUUAGCAAAGUCGUUCUCACAAGGCUCCACACGGGCUUAAUGAAAGAGAAGUUUUGACCUACUGUCAGAGGUUCAGAAGUGAAUCCUCUGCUAGCUCCUGAUAUUCCGUUAGAAAAUGAUGCGGCACAGAGGUCUUUGGUUUAUUUUGCAACGCCUGCACAGUGGAAAACUCCAACCUGGCUAGCCAGCAGAAGUUGUCAUGAGGAGAGUCCAU